rnacentral:misc_RNA from 1 species
GAUAUUUAAUGAUGAUCUUAGCAUGGUUACAAAUAACGGUCGUUACGUAACACAACAGCCGUUAUUUACAAGUUUUGGAAGGGUUCGUUACGCAAUAUACUGUUAUUUACAGGCAAUCUGGAGUUGUAAGUGUAACGACCGUUACAACCGUUACGUAACAGUAACGGCCAUUAUUUACUGUUAUGCAAUGGUAAUGGCCAGCUGCAAUCACAUGGAAACAAUGUUAUUUUACUUCUCUUUUCU